rnacentral:rRNA from 1 species
UACGUAGGGUGCGAGCGUUAAUCGGAAUUACUGGGCGUAAAGCGUGCGUAGGUGGUUUGUUAAGUCUGAUGUGAAAGCCCUGGGCUCAACCUGGGAAUUGCAUUGGAUACUGGCAGGCUAGAGUGCGGUAGAGGAUGGCGGAAUUCCCGGUGUAGCAGUGAAAUGCGUAGAGAUCGGGAGGAACAUCUGUGGCGAAGGCGGCCAUCUGGACCAGCACUGACACUGAGGCACGAAAGCGUGGGGAGGCAAACAGG